rnacentral:rRNA from 1 species
GUUUAUGGCCAUGCCACCCUGAACAAGUCUGAUCCCAUCUGAUCUCAGAAGCUAAGCAGUGUCAGGCCUGGUUAGUACUUGGAUGGGAGACCACCUAGGAAGACCAGGUGCUGUAGGCA